rnacentral:lncRNA from 1 species
AUGCCAUGUGGUACGAACAAAGCUAGUGGAGGUGAUGAAAUUCCAGUUGAGCUGUUUCAAAUCCUGAAAGAUGAUGCUAUGAAAGUGCUGCACUCAAUAUGCCAGCAAAUUUGGAAAACUCAGCAGUGGCCACAGGACUGGAAAAAGUCAGUUUUCAUUCCAAUUUCAAAGAAAGGAAAUGCAAAAGAAUGCUCAAACUACCGCACAGUUGCACUCAUCUCACAUGAUAGUAAAGUAAUGCUCAAAAUUCUCCAAGCCAGGCUUCAGCAAUACGUGAACCGUGAACUUCCAGAUGUUCAAGCUGGUUUUAGAAAAGGCAGAGGAACUAGAGAUCAAAUUGCCAACAUCUGCUGGAUCAUCAAAAAAGCAAGAGAGUUCCAGAAAAAAUUCUGUUUCUGCUUUAUUGACUAUGCCAAAGCCUUUGACUGUGUGGAUCACAAUAAACUGUGGAAAAUUCUGAAAGAGAUGGGAAUACCAGACCACCUGACCUGCCUCUUGAGAAAUCUGUAUACAGGUCAGGAAGCAACAGUUAGAACUGGCCAUGGAAGAACAGACUGGUUCCAAAUAGGAAAAGGAGUACGUCAAGGCUGUAUAUUGUCACCCUGCUCAUUUAACUUAUAUGCAGAGUACAUCAUAAGAAACGCUGGUCUGGAAGAAACACAAGCUGGAAUCAAGAUUGCUGGGAGAAAUAUCAAUCACCUCAGAUAUGCAGAUGACACCACCCUUAUGGCAGAAAGUGAAGAGGAACUAAAAAGCCUCUUGAUGAAAGUGAAAGAGGAGAGUGAAAAAGUUGGCUUAAAGCUUAACAUUCAGAAAACGAAGAUCAUGGCAUCUGGUCCCAUAACUUCAUGGGAAAUAGAUGGGGAAACAGUGGAAACAGUGUCAGACUUUAUUUUUGGGGGCUCCAAAAUCAUUGCAGAUUGUGAUGGCAGCCAUGAAAUUAAAAGAGGCUUAGUCCUUGGAAGAAAAGUUAUGACUAACCUAGAUAGUAUAUUCAGAAACAGAGACAUUACUUUGCCAUCUAAGGUCCGUCUAGUCAAGGCUAUGGUUUUUCCAGCGAUCAUGUAUGGAUGUGAGAGUUGGACUGUGAAGAAGGCAGAGCGCCGAAGAAUUGAUGCUUUUGAAGUGUGGUGUUGGAGAAGACUCUUGAGAGUCCCUUGGACUGCAAGGAGAUCCAACCAGUCCAUUCUGAAGGAGAUCAACCCUGGGAUUUCUUUGGAGGGAAUGAUGCUAAAGCUGAAACUCCAGUACUUUGGCCACCUCAUGCGAAGAGUUGACUCAUUGGAAAAGACUCUGAUGGUGGCAGGGAUUGGGGGCAGGUGGAGAAGGGGACGACAGAGGAUGAGAUGGCUGGAUGUCAUCACUGACUCGAUGAACAUGAGUCUGAGUGAACUCCGGGAGAUGGUGAUGAACAAGGAGGCCUGGCGUGCUGCGAUUCAUGGGGUUGCAGAGAGUCAGAAACGACUGAGUGACUGA